AUUGAACGCUGGCGGCAUGCUUUACACAUGCGAGUCGAACGGCAGCGCGGGCUUCGGCCUGGCGGCGAGUGGCGAACGGGUGAGUAAUGCAUCGGAACGUGCCCAGUAGUGGGGGAUAGCCCGGCGAAAGCCGGAUUAAUACCGCAUACGACCUGAGGGUGAAAGCGGGGGACCGAAAGGCCUCGCGCUAUUGGAGCGGCCGAUGUCGGAUUAGCUAGUUGGUGGGGUAAAGGCUUACCAAGGCGACGAUCCGUAGCUGGUCUGAGAGGACGACCAGCCACACAGGGGCUGAGACACGGCCCGGACCCACACGGGAGGGAGGGGGGGGGAAUUUAGGAAAAGGGGGGGAACCCUGACCCAGCCAGGCCGGGUGGGGGAAGAAGGCCUUCGGGUUGUAAACCGGUUUUGUUGGGGAAGAAACCCUCUGGGGUAAACCCCCGGGGGGAUGCGGGAACCGAAAAAAAAAGCACCGGCAAACUACGU
rnacentral:rRNA from 1 species